GAUGAAGAACGUAGCGAAAUGCGAUAAGUAAUGCGAAUUGCAGAAUCCGUGAGUCAUCGAAUCUUUGAACGCACAUUGCGCCCCUUGGUUAUUCCGAAGGGCAUGCCUGUUCGAGCGUCAUUAUCACCCCUCAAGCCCUGGCUUGGUGUUGGACUUUAGUUAUAGCUUUGCCUAUCAACUGGUCUCAAAGAUAGUGACGGCGCCCCAGAGGGAACCGGGUACGAGGAGCUUUUUACUAAGCAUGUAUCUGGGACGACUCUGGGCGACGGUCUUGUUAUACUUUUUACCUAAGUGUUGACCUCGGAUCAGGUAGGAAUACCCGCUGAACUUAAGCAUAUCAAUAAGCGGAG
rnacentral:misc_RNA from 1 species